AUGAAGAUACCACUUAAGAAUAAAAUCCUUCUAUGGUAUCUUUGUUGAAGAGUCAUUCUUACAAAAGAUAACCUUAUUAAUAGGAAUUAGCAUGGAAAUACGCAAUGCUUGUUUUGUCAUCACGACGAAACAAUAAAACACUUAUUUUUUCAAUGCAAAUUGCCUCAUUCUAUAUGGUCAGUCAUCCAAGUAGGUUCUAGUUUGUAUCCUCCUCGUAGUGUUGCUAAUAUAUUUGGCAACUGGUAA
rnacentral:rRNA from 1 species